rnacentral:lncRNA from 1 species
CGGGGCGAGGCAUCUCUUAUUUCCUGCCUCACUUACAAAGUGGAAUAAGUGUUUCUUAAUUUAACCACUUGAAAGUCACAUUCUCCCACCAUUGUUGGAGAAAUGGUAGACAUUUCAUUUUAUAGUACACUUUCUAUUUUAGUGUAUUCUUCUUUAUUUUUCCUUCCACUUGAUUUCCUCCUUUUUCCAAUCACACUUUUCAUAUACUUUGAAC